rnacentral:rRNA from 1 species
UAGGGAAUCCUCGGCAAUGGGGGCAACCCUGACCGAGCAACGCCGCGUGAGUGAAGAAGGUUUUCGGAUCGUAAAGCUCUGUUGUAAGAGAAGAACGUGUGUGAGAGUGGAAAGUUCACACAGUGACGGUAACUUACCAGAAAGGGACGGCUAACUACGUGCCAGCAGCCGCGGUAAUACGUAGGUCCCGAGCGUUGUCCGGAUUUAUUGGGCGUAAAGCGAGCGCAGGCGGUUUAAUAAGUCUGAAGUUAAAGGCAGUGGCUUAACCAUUGUUCGCUUUGGAAACUGUUAAACUUGAGUGCAGAAGGGGAGAGUGGAAUUCCAUGUGUAGCGGUGCAAUGCGUAGAUAUAUGGAGGAACACCGGUGGCGAAAGCGGCUCUCUGGUCUGUAACUGACGCUGAGGCUCGAAAGCGUGGGGAGCAAACAGG